CUCCAGCCUCAGCCUCUGAGUAGCAAGGACUGUUGCCAUCAUGCCUGGAAUCCUUUGUCAGCAGACCUGUUCUAUACCUGGAUACCUGGAUGAGAUGUCCUUGAGGAUAAUGCCUGACCUUUCUUGACCAUCAAAAAAGUUUGUCAGCAGAAGUUAGAAGUGGAGGAAUGAAGGAGACUGUAGCCUGAAAGCCCCUGCAGGUCCCGUUUUCAUCUGAUUGGAAGCUGAUGAGCAUGAUGCUGGAGGGGCUCAGCACAGGGGUGGGGACAUCAUAGCCACACAGCCGAGCUUGUUGAAGGCCAGCCCAGGCAUGACAUUGUCAAGCACCCAGCAGAUAGCCAUGGCAUUGGAGAGAAGAAAAAAAGAAAAUCAUCCUUCAGACUCUGAAAUGAAAGCUGAGAAGACACGAAGUUACAUCCAGAGUAAACAAUCUGAAUGAAUUACCUGACUUUGAUUCAGCAGAGAAAUUUGGAUUGCUCAACUUGUUCUGGAGUAAGACCUUAGAUAAGAAAGUUAAUGGGGUAUUCAGGAGUGGGUCAGAUUACCAAGGGAAGGAUUCUAUAUCACAGGCUCUAACUUUUUGAAAUAGCUACCAAAUAUGGCCUGAAUCAAAGGGCAGGAAACUGUGCAAAUAUUUUAGCUUCCUAACAUCUCUAAGAGAUUAGGAGAGCUACCGCAUGGGGAUUUUUUUCCUUGGAAGCAACUAGGCACUCAACUCAACUAAUUGCAUAUACACAAAACUGCUUCUCUGGACAUCUUAGUGUUGUUCACCUGGUUCCUGAUGUUUCAUCUUGAACCUCUAGUUCUCCUGAAUCAAGACUGAAAUUUGUUGUGCCCCUUGGAGACCGUGUCUUUCUACCCAGCGGGAUAUAGCUGGCUCCUCUUCUCACCUGCUUUGUCCUGUUGCCACUAUAUUUCCAUGCCUCACUGCAAAAUUCUGAGAAGGCACAGAUUUGGUUGAAUCUGCUGACAUGGAACUUGCAGAUACGGAGGCCUGGCUGCAUGUAGAUCCUGGCUUUUGCAGACUUACUAUACCUGGAUCUACGCCAGGGAUUCUCAUUGUUGAUUCCUGCCUUACCUGGAAUCAGUCUUCCUGCAGCCCCUCACCUGAUAACAGAUGAGAAAACUGAGAAUCAAGGAGACACACAGCUGGAUAAUGGCAGAGCAUGAAUGUAACAGAACAUGGAGUCUCGGAGUUGUGACGUCCAUUGCCAGCAAAGGUUCAGACAAAGGAGCAGGAGGACACACCGUAUGGUCUCAGGCUGCCAACUUAAUCCAAUCGCUAAGUGGGAACCACUGAAUCCUCCUUUAUAAACACCUUGCAUAUUCCCUGUUGCAACUAAGAGAUGACACUAAAGGUACAUGCAAGGUGAGGAAUCUGCUGUCACUUGAAUGGUUUUCUGCUGGAGAUGGAGUCUCACUGUGUUGCCCAGGCUGGAGUGCAGUGG